UUGAAAGACCGGUUCUCGUACGAUCCCCCGAAGUUAAGCAAAGCCGAGCUUGGUCAGUACCUAGAUGGGUGACCACUUGGAAAUACCAAGUGUUGUAAU